CACCGGUCAAACCAGGUUCCCAAGCUCGCUGUUUGGGGCUUCCAAUCACUGUCACACAGCCCCUUGGGGACUGAGUGAGUACUCACACUGGACUGGGAGCAUCAAGGCUGCCCUCUUCAAUCUGAGCCCUGAAACUACACAACUUUGUCAGAGCACUUAGCAAGCUAUGGUGGAACACCAGAUACAAGCAUCAUGUUAUCUGACUAGCCAGCAUCCUACUCCCUUGUCAAUAAUCUAAAAUGCAUCGUUACCUUCCUCUGAAAGGCCAGAGUCAUCUGCAGUGAUGUUUGAGCCCAGUUUUAAAUUGUCUCAGCAAGAAAACAGAAGGACAUACAGACCAGGCAGCCUAGUGAGAGAUUGGACAGUAAGGGUGGGUAUACACCCCACUUCCCAAACAGAGAGAGAGAGACCUGGAAGGGGUGAUCCAUGUGGGUCCCCUAACAAGUGUUCAUGUGUUAAAUGGGGUCAUAGGGCACGACAGCCUUUUCCAUAAGGUGUUUUGAGUGGAGGAAAGAGGCCAGGGUGUAUGAAGCUCACAAAGAAUUUAGAGAUCGUUUGUGUCUCUGCUGGUGAUAAGAGUCCGCCUCAGGGCAGGAAGAACUACCUACUACACGCAGACACAUGACAGUAAGAACUACCUACUACACACAAUCAUUGCCUCACAGCCUUUAUUUCUUUGGGGCUGUGUGUUAAACAAAAGCAAGGUGAUUUUAGCUGGCUCUUGGGUUUAGGUUAGAUCAUAAAGAUUACAUAUUUUCUGCUGGUCUAAGUCACUAUGCUGGUCUUUCUAAAAAAAAUAAACUAUGUUACUUUGAGUAAAAAAAAAUAAAAACUUGAUUUAGUUGAAAAUGU
rnacentral:lncRNA from 1 species